GAUGAACGCUGGCGGCGUGCCUAAUACAUGCAAGUCGAGCGAACAGACGAGGAGCUUACUCCUCUGACGUUAGCGGCGGACGGGUGAGUAACACGUGGAUAACCUACCUAUAAGACUGGGAUAACUUCGGGAAACCGGAGCUAAUACCGGAUAACAUGUUGAACCGCAUGGUUCAACAGUGAAAGACGGUCUUGCUGUCACUUAUAGAUGGAUCCGCGUCGCAUUAGCUAGUUGGUAAGGUAACGGCUUACCAAGGCAACGAUGCGUAGCCGACCUGAGAGGGUGAACGGCCACACUGGAACUGAGACACGGUCCAGACUCCUACGGGAGGCAGCAGUAGGGAAUCUUCCGCAAUGGGCGAAAGCCUGACGGAGCAACGCCGCGUGAGUGAAGAAGGUCUUCGGAUCGUAAAACUCUGUUAUUAGGGAAGAACAAAUGUGUAAGUAACUAUGCACGUCUUGACGGUACCUAAUCAGAAAGCCACGGCUAACUACGUG
rnacentral:rRNA from 1 species